GACGUAGGGCGCGAGCGUUGUCCGGAUUUAUUGGGCGUAAAGAGCUCGUAGGCGGCUUGUCGCGUCGAAUCGUGAAAUCCUCAGGGCUCAACUCUGACAUUGCAUUCGAUACGGGCAGGCUAGAGUUCGGUAGGGGAGACUGGAAUUCCUGGUGUAGCGGUGAAAUGCGCAGAUAUCAGGAGGAACACCGGUGGCGAAGGCGGGUCUCUGGGCCGAUACUGACGCUGAGGAGCGAAAGCGUGGGGAGCGAACAGG
rnacentral:rRNA from 1 species